GACGAACGCUGGCGGCGUGCUUAACACAUGCAAGUCGAGCGGUAAGGCCCUUUCGGGGGUACACGAGCGGCGAACGGGUGAGUAACACAUCGGAAUCUGCCUGGUUGUGGGGGAUAACGUAGGGAAACUUACGCUAAUACCGCAUGCGACCCUGAGUCGACGGACUGGGGGUGAAAGUGAGGGACCUUCGGGCCUCACGCGACCAGAUGAGCCGAUGUCGGAUUAGCUAGUUGGCGGGGUAACGGCCCGCCAAGGCGACGAUCCGUAGCUGGUCUGAGA
rnacentral:rRNA from 1 species